rnacentral:lncRNA from 1 species
AUCGUAUGGAUGCGUCGCUAAGAUCAGCGACACUUUUGUCGGCUUGAAGCUCAAGCUGAUCCCAGCUAAGGACAUUCCAAGGAGACCACGUGCGCACAUUUGUCUGCCUCCGAUGGAUGAACCAGGCGAAAAGUUGCUGCGGUGUCUUAAGCUACAUAAUAAAGACAUACCGGCGAUCGAGGAAUGGGAGCUUAUAAAGGUUGAAGAGCCAAGAAGACCUAUAAAUAAGCCCAUUCUGCUAGCUAUUUGCGCAGAAUCACUAGACGCCUUAGAGAAGGCUGACUAUCGGCUCUGCUUCGGUAUCCGUAAGGCUAGAGUGCGGGUAUUCCUCGGAGAGGUUAGCCCGGUAGAAGAAGAUCUCGGGGUUGAUGGAGCUGGUGAGCUUCUCAUGGGUGUGAAGCUCACAGAUGACCCUGAACCGGAAACUUAAAGUAGCCCAAAUAAAUCUGCAGCACUCCAAAUGUGCUACAGAUAAUCUAGUUGUCCUUCUCAGUGAGGAGGAUAUAGACAUUAGCCUAAUUCAAGAGCCCUGGGUCAAGCACGAUACAGUCAUGGGACUAAACAUAAAUAAUUAUAAACUCUACUAUAAGAGCGAGCACAUCAGAUACAACAAUGGUUAAGGUGGAGACCACCGGGCAGCCAAGUAUACUCCUGGCCUCAUCAUACAUGGCCCACGAUAGGGACAGUCCGCCAAACCGAAAUCAGUUCUACGGAGAACGACCGAGGUAAAUGGCGCAAGUGCUUGUUCGUCUGAAGAUGACGGCGCCGUUUUAAGCGCAACAGUGACAGAGCUGAUGGAAACAUCAAGUGAUUCAGAUGAUUCUGAUGAUGACGAGAUAUACCAAAUAAUUAUGGAUCAUUCUGAUAGCGAAGAUGAUAAUAUAAUGGUGGAGCUACUGAGGGAUGGGGAGAGGAAAAAGAGGAACAGUAUUAAGAACUACUUGGAGGAAGUAGUGCCUAAUUAUACGGAGGCAGAAUUCAAGAUGCACUUCCGCAUAUCGAAGGAGCUGUUUUUAAAUUUAUCUGCUAAAUUUGAGGAAAGCGAUAUUUAUAAGAGUCUUCGAGUCGAUAAGCGGUUACCAGGGACGACAAAGAUGGCGGUUUUCUUAUGGUUUGCCGGCAUGCAGCUUUCGCGAUUUAUCCGACCGCUUCAACAUAUCGCUGUCGAGUGCUUUUCGCAUUGUCAAUAGAACGACAAUGUUCAUUAGUAGUUUGAGUCCAGAGGUGAUACGAUGGCCUACUGAGGACAUGAAACGAGAGGCGGCACUCUUUUUUUAGCAGAAAAUGCGGCUUUGCAAAAGCAAUCGGUUGCAUUGAUUGAACGCAUAUCGUCAUCGAUCCUCCAGCUGAGCGGAAAGAUACUACAUUGACCGGAAAGGCAACAUCACCCUUACCAUGCAGACCGAUGAAAACAAAAAAUUUAUGAAUAUAUUUUUUGGCUCUCCCGGAUCUAUUCACGACAGUUGGGUUUUCCAGUACUCGACUAUUUUCCAAAAAUUGUCAUCGUAUUGUGGAGAUUAUUACUUACUAGGAGACUCUGCCUACCCGUGCACUCAGUAAGUAAUUACACCGUUACAAGGAUAAUGGUUACUUGACUCCUGCGCAGAAAAACUUCAAUGUGGUCGCGUUGAAAUUAGCACACAUUUAGAAUACUUAAGCAGCGGUGGAAUACUUAAGGGGUAGUAGGAAUUUGUGCCACUUUAUCAGGGCGUGUUGCGUCUUGAAUAAUAUUGCAAACGAGAGUGAUUUGGAAUUUUCGCUAGAAAUUUCCAUUGAAGAAAGACAUGAAAAUGAAUGUGGUGAAACAUUCAGAGGAAACUCCGUCCGGGAUGCAAUUUGUAGGAAUUUGCUACCGAGGCAACA